UGAAAGGUUAUGUUUAUCUUAGGUUUACAC
rnacentral:piRNA from 1 species